AAAAAGGCCCUUUUCAGGGCCACCCACAAGAUCUUGAGAAGAGUUGU
rfam:Erinaceus europaeus unplaced genomic scaffold scaffold00740, whole genome shotgun sequence